rnacentral:rRNA from 2 species
UGGGGAAUAUUGCGCAAUGGGGGAAACCCUGACGCAGCAACGCCGCGUGAAGGAUGAAGGUUUUCGGAUUGUAAACUUCUUUGAUUGGGGACGAUAAUGACGGUACCCAAAAAACAAGCCACGGCUAACUACGUGCCAGCAGCCGCGGUAAUACGUAGGUGGCAAGCGUUGUCCGGAAUUACUGGGUGUAAAGGGCGUGUAGGCGGGGAUGCAAGUCAGAUGUGAAAUUCCGGGGCUCAACCCCGGCACUGCAUCUGAAACUGUGUCUCUUGAGUGCUGGAGAGGAAAGCGGAAUUCCUAGUGUAGCGGUGAAAUGCGUAGAUAUUAGGAGGAACACCAGUGGCGAAGGCGGCUUUCUGGACAGUAACUGACGCUGAGGCGCGAAAGCGUGGGUAGCGAACAGG